rnacentral:rRNA from 1 species
AUGUGGUUUAAUUCGAAGCAACGCGAAGAACCUUACCAGGCCUCGACAUGCAGAGAACUUUCCAGAGAUGGAUUGGUGCCUUCGGGAACUCUGACACAGGUGCUGCAUGGCUGUCGUCAGCUCGUGUCGUGAGAUGUUGGGUUAAGUCCCGUAACGAGCGCAACCCUUGUCCUUAGUUACCAGCACGUUAUGGUGGGCACUCUAAGGAGACUGCCGGUGACAAACCGGAGGAAGGUGGGGAUGACGUCAAAUCAUCAUGCCCCUUAUGACCUGGGCUACAAACGUGAUACAAUGGCUGGAACAAAGGGAUGCGAAGCAGUGAUGUGGAGCGAAACCCAUAAAAACAGUCUCAGUUCGGAUUGAAGUCUGCAACUCGACUUCAUGAAGUCGGAAUCGCUAGUAAUCGCGGAUCAGAACGCCGCGGUGAAUACGUUCUCGGGGUUU